rnacentral:rRNA from 1 species
AGUGAAGCGGCAACAGCUCAAAUUUGAAAUCUGGCCCUCGUGGUCCGAGUUGUAAUUUGUAGAGGAUGCUUUUGGUACGGUACCUUCCGAGUUCCCUGGAACGGGACGCCAUAGAGGGUGAGAGCCCCGUCUGGUCGGAUACCAAUCCUCUGUAAAGCUCCUUCGACGAGUCGAGUAGUUUGGGAAUGCUGCUCAAAAUGGGAGGUAUAUGUCUUCUAAAGCUAAAUAUUGGCCAGAGACCGAUAGCGCACAAGUAGAGUGAUCGAAAGAUGAAAAGCACUUUGAAAAGAGGGUUAAAUAGUACGUGAAAUUGUUGAAAGGGAAGCGUUUGUGACCAGACUUGGGCCCGGUUAAUCAUCCGGCGUUCUCGCCGGUGCACUUUGCCGGCCCAGGCCAGCAUCAGUUCGCUGCGGGGGAAAAAGGCAGCGGGAAUGUGGCUCCUCGGAGUGUUAUAGCCCGCUGUGCAAUACCCUGUGGUGGACUGAGGUUCGCGCAUCUGCAAGGAUGCUGGCGUAAUGGUCAUCAACGACCCGUCUUGAAACACGGACCAAGGAGUCGUCUUCGUAUGCGAGUGUUCGGGUGUCAAACCCCUACGCGUAAUGAAAGUGAACGGAGGUGGGAGCCUCGGCGCACCAUCGACCGAUCCUGAUGUUUUCGGAUGGAUUUGAGUAAGAGCAUACGGGGCCGGACCCGAAAGAAGGUGAACUAUGCCUGUAUAGGGUGAAGCCAGAGGAAACUCUGGUGGAGGCUCGCAGCGGUUCUGACGUGCAAAUCGAUCGUCAAAUAUGGGCAUGGGGGCGAAAGACUA